CGUCAGUUGUCGCUCAGGAUUCGAGGAAGGGAAGGACUGUUCUACACAACGGCGGUUGUCCCUGCUUUUGUAUCCACGUCCGGGGAUCUUCGGUGUGACGUGACUUGCCCUCGAAGAUGGAGGGUACCCUGGAACUACCAACUGAAAUAAAUCCUUCCUUCCUCCGUUGCUUUUGGUCGAGGCGUUUUAUCACAGUAACAGACAUGAAAUUGGGACACCACCUAAGUCCAGCUUGUGCAGGGGCAUGAAGGAAAGAGAACGCAGUCACGUCUGUGCCAAAGAGCCCCUCCUGGGAUCCCAAACAUGGAGCUCUUGGGAAGAACAUGAUAGAAGAACAUAGAAGAGAGAGUAAGGAAAGUGGGUCUGUCUGCCUGUGGUGUGUUGUGAAGGACGUGAGUUGAGCAGGAACUUUGGUGUUGGUGUUAGCUUUUGUGGCAUGGCUGAGUCCUGAAGACCAUGGUCAGGUAGAAGAGACUCUUGUGGACCUCAGUGACUGCAGUCAGCAUUCAAGUUGGGUUGUAAAGUGCUAAAGCAAUCAAGAGCAGAUGAGAAAAA
ensembl:processed_transcript Gm13421 predicted gene 13421